UCGGGAAUUUUGGGCAAUGGGGGAAACCCUGACCCAGCAACGCCGCGUGAAGGAUGAAGUAUUUCGGUAUGUAAACUUCGAAAGAAUAGGAAGAAUAAAUGACGGUACUAUUUAUAAGGUCCGGCUAACUACGUGCCAGCAGCCGCGGUAAUACGUAGGGACCAAGCGUUGUUCGGAUUUACUGGGCGUAAAGGGCGCGUAGGCGGCAUGACAAGUCACUUGUGAAAUCUCUGGGCUUAACCCAGAACGGCCAAGUGAUACUGUCGCGCUAGAGUGCAGAAGGGGCAAUCGGAAUUCUUGGUGUAGCGGUGAAAUGCGUAGAUAUGUGGAAGAACACCGGUGGUGAAGACGGUUUACUGGGCUGUAACUGACGCUGAGGCGCGAAAGCAUGGGGAGCAAACAGGAUUAGAUACCCCAGUAGUCCCUGAGCGGGGCUGGCAAGGCGC
rnacentral:rRNA from 1 species